rnacentral:misc_RNA from 1 species
UUUCCGAAGGUGAACCUGCGGAAGGAUCAUUAUUGUAUAACCGAGGUGCGAGGGCUGUCGCUGACCCGAAAGGUCGUGCACGCCCGAGUGCCCUCACACACAUCCAUCUCACCCCUAUGUGCACCACCGCGUGGGUCCCCCUUUGGCUUGUUCGGAGGGGGGCUUACGUUUUCACACAAACUUUGUAUGCAGUGUAGAAUGUAUUUUUUGUUUUUGCGAUCACGCAAUCAAUACAACUUUCAACAACGGAUCUCUUGGCUCUC